CAGAGGGUGCAAACGUUGUUCGGAAUUACUGGGCGUAAAGCGCGUGUAGGCGGCUAAGUAAGUCGGGCGUGAAAUCCCACGGCUCAACCGUGGAAGUGCACUCGAAACUGCAUAGCUAGAGUCCUGGAGAGGAAGGUGGAAUGCUUGGUGUAGAGGUGAAAUUCGUAGAUAUCAAGCGGAACACCGGUGGCGAAGGCGGCCUUCUGGACAGUGACUGACGCUGAGACGCGAAAGCGUGGGGAGCGAACAGG
rnacentral:rRNA from 1 species